rnacentral:rRNA from 1 species
AUUGAACGCUGGCGGCAGGCCUAACACAUGCAAGUCGAGCGGCAGCGGAAAGUAGCUUGCUACUUUGCCGGCGAGCGGCGGACGGGUGAGUAAUGUCUGGGAAACUGCCUGAUGGAGGGGGAUAACUACUGGAAACGGUAGCUAAUACCGCAUAAUGUCGCAAGACCAAAGAGGGGGACCUUCGGGCCUCUUGCCAUCAGAUGUGCCCAGAUGGGAUUAGCUAGUAGGUGGGGUAACGGCUCACCUAGGCGACGAUCCCUAGCUGGUCUGAGAGGAUGACCAGCCACACUGGAACUGAGACACGGUCCAGACUCCUACGGGAGGCAGCAGUGGGGAAUAUUGCACAAUGGGCGCAAGCCUGAUGCAGCCAUGCCGCGUGUAUGAAGAAGGCCUUCGGGUUGUAAAGUACCUUCAGCGGGGAGGAAGGUGUUGAGGUUAAUAACCUCAGCAAUUGACGUUACCCGCAGAAGAAGCACCGGCUAACUCCGUGCCAGCAGCCGCCGUAA